UGGGGAAUAUUGGACAAUGGGCGCAAGCCUGAUCCAGCCAUGCCGCGUGGGUGAAGAAGGCCCUAGGGUUGUAAAGCCCUUUCACCGGUGAAGAUAAUGACGGUAGCCGGAGAAGAAGCCCCGGCCAACUCCGUGCCAGCAGCCGCGGUAAUACGGAGGGGGCUAGCGUUGUUCGGAAUUACUGGGCGUAAAGCGCGCGUAGGCGGCUUUGCAAGUUGGAGGUGAAAGCCCAGGGCUUAACCCUGGAACUGCCUUCAAAACUGCAAGACUCGAGUCCGGGAGAGGUGAGUGGAAUUCCCAGUGUAGAGGUGAAAUUCGUAGAUAUUGGGAAGAACACCAGUGGCGAAGGCGGCUCACUGGUCCGGUACUGACGCUGAGGCGCGAAAGCGUGGGGAGCAAACAGGAUUAGAUACCCCCGUAGUCC
rnacentral:rRNA from 1 species